rnacentral:rRNA from 1 species
UACGUAGGGGGCAAGCGUUGUCCGGAUUUACUGGGCGUAAAGCGCGCGCAGGCGGCCGUGCGGGUCCGGCGUGAAAGCCCCCGGCUCAACCGGGGAGGGUCGUCGGGGACCGCACCGCUUGAGGGCGGUAGGGGCUGGUGGAAUGCCUGGUGUAGUGGUGAAAUGCGUAGAGAUCAGGCGGAACACCAGUGGCGAAGGCGGCCAGCUGGACCGGCACUGACGCUGAUGCGCGAAAGCGUGGGGAGCAAACAGG